rnacentral:rRNA from 1 species
UACAGAGGGUGCAAACGCUGUUCGGAAUUACUGGGCGUAAAGCGCGUGUAGGCGGCUAAGUAAGUCGGGCGUGAAAUCCCACGGCUCAACCGUGGAAGUGCACUCGAAACUGCAUAGCUAGAGUCCUGGAGAGGAAGGUGGAAUGCUUGGUGUAGAGGUGAAAUUCGUAGAUAUCAAGCGGAACACCGGUGGCGAAGGCGGCCUUCUGGACAGUGACUGACGCUGAGACGCGAAAGCGUGGGGAGCAAACAGG